GACGAACGCUGGCGGCGUGCUUAACACAUGCAAGUCGAACGGAAAGGCCCUGCUUUUGUGGGGUGCUCGAGUGGCGAACGGGUGAGUAACACGUGAGUAACCUGCCCUUGACUUUGGGAUAACUUCAGGAAACUGGGGCUAAUACCGGAUAGGAGCUCCUGCUGCAUGGUGGGGGUUGGAAAGUUUCGGCGGUUGGGGAUGGACUCGCGGCUUAUCAGCUUGUUGGUGGGGUAGUGGCUUACCAAGGCUUUGACGGGUAGCCGGCCUGAGAGGGUGACCAGCCACAUUGGGACUGAGAUACGGCACAGACGCCUACUGGAGGCAGCAGUGGUGAAUAUUGCACAAUGGGCGGAAGCCUGAUGCAGAAACGCCGCGUGCGGGAAGACGGCCUUCGUGUUGUAAACCGUUUUCGCCUGGGACGAAGCGUUAGUGACGGUAAUGGGUCAAGAAGCACCGGCUAACUACGUG
rnacentral:rRNA from 1 species